CUCUUAUCAAGAGUAGCUGAGGGACUGGCCCUAUGAAGCUCGGCAACCUCCUUUUAGAAGGAAGGUGCUAAAUCCUGCAAACGAUUAUCGUUUGAUAGAUAAGAG
rnacentral:ncRNA from 2 species